rnacentral:rRNA from 1 species
GACGAACGCUGGCGGCGUGCUUAACACAUGCAAGUCGAACGGAAAGGCCCUGCUUUUGUGGGGUGCUCGAGUGGCGAACGGGUGAGUAACACGUGAGUAACCUGCCCUUGACUUUGGGAUAACUUCAGGAAACUGGGGCUAAUACCGGAUAGGAGCUCCUGCUGCAUGGUGGGGGUUGGAAAGUUUCGGCGGUUGGGGAUGGACUCGCGGCUUAUCAGCUUGAUGGUGGGGUAGUGGCUUACCAAGGCUUUGACGGGUAGCCGGCCUGAGAGGGUGACCAGCCACAUUGGGACUGAGAUACGGCCCAGACUCCUACGGGAGGCAGCAGUGGGGAAUAUUGCACAAUGGGCGGAAGCCUGAUGCAGCAACGCCGCGUGCGGGAUGACGGCCUUCGGGUUGUAAACCGCUUUCGCCUGUGACGAAGCGUGAGUGACGGUAAUGGGUAAAGAAGCACCGGCUAACUACGUG